ACAUGUGUAUAGCGUUAAUGCAUCAAAUCCCAUUAGAACUUCGGAGUUAAGUGUGCUUGGGCUAGAGUAGUACUCAGAUGGGUGACCUCCUCGGAAGUCCUAGUGUUUUACAUGCC
rnacentral:rRNA from 1 species